rnacentral:snoRNA from 1 species
CCGCUUGGAGAUGACGAGCUGAUCUCCUACAUCAUCGCUGGUCUCGAUCUCGAGUACCAGCCACUCGUCUCCGCGCUCGAGCCCGAGC